AUUGAACGCUGGCGGCAUGCUUUACACAUGCAAGUCGAACGGUAACAGGCCGCAAGGUGCUGACGAGUGGCGAACGGGUGAGUAAUGCAUCGGAACGUGCCCAGUCGUGGGGGAUAACGCAGCGAAAGCUGCGCUAAUACCGCAUACGAUCUAUGGAUGAAAGCGGGGGACCGUAAGGCAUCGCGCGAUUGGAGCGGCCGAUGUCAGAUUAGGUAGUUGGUGGGGUAAAGGCUCACCAAGCCAACGAUCUGUAGCUGGUCUGAGAGGACGACCAGCCACACUGGGACUGAGACACGGCCCAGGCUCCUACGGGAGGCAGCAGUGGGGAAUUUUGGACAAUGGGCGCAAGCCUGAUCCAGCAAUGCCGCGUGCAGGAAGAAGGCCUUCGGGUUGUAAACUGCUUUUGUACGGAACGAAACGGUCCUGGUUAAUACCUGGGGCUAAUGACGGUACCGUAAGAAUAAGCACCGGCUAACUACGUGCCAGCCGCCGCCGUAAGAC
rnacentral:rRNA from 1 species